UACAGGGGGUGCAAACGUUGCUCGGAAUCACUGGGCUUAAAGCGUGUGUAGGCGGAUCGUUAAGUACCUUGUGAAAUCCCAUGGCUUAACCAUGGAACUGCUUGGUAUACUGGCGGUCUUGAGCCACUUAGGGGCUACCGGAACAAAUGGUGGAGCGGUGAAAUGCGUAGAUAUCAUUUGGAACGCCAAUGGUGAAAACAGGUAGCUGGGAGUGUGCUGACGCUGAGACACGAAAGCCAGGGGAGCGAACGGG
rnacentral:rRNA from 1 species